AUCACAUCUAACACUUCUACUUCCAGGGUACUGGACGUCAUACUGCUGCAGGUGGGCAGGAGGUCGACUAUCAUGACUGGAACGUCUCAAACCUUCAGUUAAUGGCUGCUGUGAAUCCAUGAUGCUAACACUGCUCCGGCUCGAAGGACCAUGUUAUGAAGGACAGAAGGCUCAGAGUUUAAGUCAUCAUCAUCAUGGGCUCAUCCGAUUAGAAUGAGAAUAAGCAGUGAUCAAUCAUUCACAGGGUUCUCCUUUUAUUCUCAGAAUCAAUAAGGAAAGACACAAAUGGACUGCUAAUGUUCCGCUGCCGCCCCAUGUGGGAGUAAAGAAAGAGUGAGCUGUAGAAGCCAAGGCCACGUUGAAGCAGCUGAAACAACUAUUCACCGUUGCACCCAUUUUGGUUCAUCCUGACACAAAGAAAUAGUUUACUGUCUAGGUAGACACAUCUGAUUCUGGGAUGGGGGCAGUUCUCAUCCAGUGUUCUGGCCUACAUGUUUCCAGAAACAUAAAAUGUUGCCAGUCCCCGCCAGUUCUCCACCAAUGCUGAACAAUGGGAACCAGGAAACAUCUUACCACCCUAAUGCAAAAGGGGCUCCUUGAACUGGGACCUAGAAUAAACCAGCCACCAAGCCCUUCGAGACGAUCCGGAGCUCGGUGGGCCAGUACCAGGUACUGAGACAGAGUCUAAGUGAGUCUGUCAUAAGCAUUCAGCUGUUAAACUCAAAUUGCCCCCAUCUAUGCACAUCCACCCUACAUUCCAUGUUUCCCAGAUUCCCAUGUUUCAAAUCAGCAACAGUAAUAAAUAUAGAUU